GACGAACGCUGGCGGCGUGCCUAAUACAUGCAAGUAGAACGCAGUUGCGAACGGGACAGUAAAUCGUAGGUAACUCCGUGGUAGCGGGGGGUAACUAAUGGAAACUAUAGCUAAUACCGCAUACUACCAGAUGGACCUGCGUUGUAUUAGCUAGUAGGUGUGGUAACGGCUCACCAGGGCAACGAUACAUAGCCGACCUGAGAGGAUGAUCGGCCAAAUUGGGACUGAGAAACGGCCCAGACUCCUACGGGAGGCAGCAGUAGGGAAUCUUCGGCAAUGGGGGAAAGCCUGACCGAGCAACGCCGCGUGAGUGAUGAAGGUUUUCGGGUCGUAAAGCUCUGUUGUUAAGGAAGCGGUACUUAACCAGAAAGGGACGGCUAACUACGUGCCAGCAGCCGCGGUAAUUC
rnacentral:rRNA from 1 species